rnacentral:rRNA from 1 species
UUUAAAGAGAGUUUGAUCCUGGCUCAGGACGAACGCUGGCGGCGUGCCUAAUACAUGCAAGUCGAACGAACGGAGGAAGAGCUUGCUCUUCCAAAGUUAGUGGCGGACGGGUGAGUAACACGUGGGCAACCUGCCUGUAAGUUGGGGAUAACUCCGGGAAACCGGGGCUAAUACCGAAUGAUAAAGUGUGGCGCAUGCCACGCUUUUGAAAGAUGGUUUCGGCUAUCGCUUACAGAUGGGCCCGCGGUGCAUUAGCUAGUUGGUAGGGUAAUGGCCUACCAAGGCAACGAUGCAUAGCCGACCUGAGAGGGUGAUCGGCCACACUGGGACUGAGACACGGCCCAGACUCCUACGGGAGGCAGCAGUAGGGAAUCUUCCGCAAUGGACGAAAGUCUGACGGAGCAACGCCGCGUGUAUGAAGAAGGUUUUCGGAUCGUAAAGUACUGUUGUUAGAGAAGAACAAGGAUAAGAGUAACUGCUUGUCCCUUGACGGUAUCUAACCAGAAAGCCACGGCUAACUACGUGCCAGCAGCCGCGGUAAUACGUAGGUGGCAAGCGUUGUCCGGAUUUAUUGGGCGUAAAGCGCGCGCAGGCGGUCUUUUAAGUCUGAUGUGAAAGCCCCCGGCUUAACCGGGGAGGGUCAUUGGAAACUGGAAGACUGGAGUGCAGAAGAGGAGAGUGGAAUUCCACGUGUAGCGGUGAAAUGC